rnacentral:antisense_RNA from 1 species
ACCACACCUCAGGGCAUGCUCUUGCUUCCUCCUGAGGGAGAAGUCUUCUAUGUAUUCCUGCAGGAUUUUAGACAUGGAUUCAUCAAUGCACAGUUGCAGUACUGUACAUGGGAGAAGUCAGGAGUGAUAGUCGAGCUAAGAGACAGAGACAUCAGUAGAGGGAUUCUUUCUGUUGCAAGUAAUGAAAACUCAACUAAAAAUGGCUUAAGAGAAAGAAAAGGAAGAUGUUGAUUCAUAAUACUGGAAAGUCCAGGGCCACAAUGCCUUCAGGGGCUACUGGAGGCUGUGCUUCUUGAAUGAGAGGACAAGCCGAGAAAGAACAUAUGGACACAACAGGUGCAGAAGGAAACAAGUCCAGCCUAAAGAAGUGGGACACCAGGACUCCAGGGAGAGACACACUGAGGGCUUCCAUCACCACCGUCCCCACUGCUAUCAUGCUAACUUUUAAAUCAAGGACUCAAUACCCAGAGUCUGGCCCAGAUUUUUCCUUUGUACUUACUUUAUUUUGACCACAUGCUGAUAAAGUUCCUGCUCAUUU